GGAGUUGUGGCUCAGUGGUAGAGCACUUGCCUGGCAUGUGUGAGGCCCUGGGUUCAAUCCUUAGCACCA
rnacentral:tRNA from 1 species